AGCUUUGCGCAGUGGCAGUAUCAUAGCCGAUGAGGUCAAACCGAGGCGUGAUUAUUGCUAAUUGUGAUGAAGCUGAAGCUUGAUGAGGGAAGAGCUGCUGACUUAUUUUUUGUCGGGGGCUUCGCACAUGCUC
ensembl:snRNA U4 U4 spliceosomal RNA